rnacentral:rRNA from 1 species
CCUGGCUCAGGAUGAACGCUGGCGGCGUGCUUAAUACAUGCAAGUCGAACGAAGCACCUGCGACGGAUCCCUUCGGGGUGAAGAUGCUUGUGACUGAGUGGCGGACGGGUGAGUAACGCGUGGGUAACCUGCCUUAUGCAGGGGGACAACAGUCGGAAACGACUGCUAAUACCGCAUAAGCGCACGGCACCGCGUGGUGCAGUGUGAAAAGAUUUAUCGGCAUAAGAUGGACCCGCGUCUGAUUAGGUAGUUGGUGAGGUAACGGCCCACCAAGCCGACGAUCAGUAGCCGACUUGAGAGAGUGAUCGGCCACAUUGGGACUGAGACACGGCCCAGACUCCUACGGGAGGCAGCAGUAGGGAAUAUUGCACAAUGGGGGGAACCCUGAUGCAAGCGACGCCGCGUGAGUGAUGAAGUAUUUCGGUACGUAAAGCUCUAUCAGCAGGGAAGAUAAUGACGGUACCUGACUAAGAAGCCCCGGCUAACUACGUGCCAGCCGCCGC